UACGGAGGGAGCUAGCGUUGUUCGGAAUUACUGGGCGUAAAGCGCACGUAGGCGGCUAUUCAAGUCGGGGGGUGAAAGCCCGGGGCUCAACCCCGGAACUGGCCCUCGAAACUAGGUAGCUAGAAUCUUGGAGAGGCGAGUGGAAUUCCGAGUGUAGAGGUGAAAUGCGCAGAUAUCAGGAGGAACACCGGAAUGGCGAAGGCGGGU
rnacentral:rRNA from 1 species